UGGAUGAAUGUACGUAUAUGAAUCACAGGAUGGAGGGAAACCUCCCACACAGCAGUCUUCCACAUGAGAGUCUGGCUGCCAGUCAGAGUCCUACACACUGUGCAUCCCUGAGAGUCAGCAGAACUCUUCACUGCUGCGUCACAUUAAAGGCAAGAUGACCUGAGGGUGGUCGCUGCCUGCUUUGUCAGUCUGACAAAGCCUGUUUGGCCCUCUUCAUCCUAUUGCAAGGGCAAUUUGCUAUGUGUGACCUUUCAAAGGCCAACGCAAUAUGACAGGAGUUGUUAACAUCUGAGGAUCACCCAGGGGAUUCUGAAGAUACAGAUGCUGGGGUGUCUGAAGUACAUGAGGUUGAUCAUGUGUUAGCAGACUUUGUAUUGCUGCACAGCAGUAAAUGAAUCUAUAAGCCCCAGGAAGAAAGAAAAGAUUAACAGGUAAGUCAAGUGGGAACAGAAUGAAUCAUUUUUCACUAGGCCUGUGCCUCUUACUAGAUGUGGAGGGAGCCCAGAAAAUCAAUGCGUG